rnacentral:misc_RNA from 1 species
AGAUGGGGAAUCUACCUGAUUUGAGGUCAAAGUUAUGAAAUAAAUUGUGGUGGCCACUAGCAAAAUAAGCGUUUUUGGAUAAACCUAAGUCGCUUAAAAUAAGUUUCCACGUUAAAUUCUUUCAAACAAACCUAGCGUAUUGCUCAACACCAAACCCGGGGGUUUGAGGGAGAAAUGACGCUCAAACAGGCAUGCCCUUUGGAAUACCAAAGGGCGCAAUGUGCGUUCAAAGAUUCGAUGAUUCACGAAUAUCUGCAAUUCAUAUUACGUAUCGCAUUUCGCUGCGUUCUUCAUCGAUGCGAGAACCAAGAGAUCCGUUGUUGAAAGUUUUGACUAUUGUAAUAAUAAAUCAAGUUUGACUGUAAAUAAAGUUUGGUUUAGUUAUAACCUCUGGCGGUAGGAUUGCUCCCGCCACCAAAGAAAUUUGUUCAAUAAAAAACACAUGUGGUGCAAUUAAGCAAAUCAGUAAUGAUCCUUCCGCAGGUUCACCCUACG